UGCUCAAUGAAGAAGAUGGUGAUCUUAGAGUCAUACUGAAGGACCCUAAGCUCGCACCAACCACGCUCGACCCUGUUGAGCACCGUCUGGCAUGAGCAGAAAGAUCAUCAAAACAUAAGGACUUGUUAAUUUAAAAAACAGUCAGGUGCUUGCUUUUUUAUGCUUCCAAAAUAAAUGUCAGCUGCUGUUGUUGUAUGUUCUUUCCUAAGUCCAAAUCAUGAUGAACUGAGUAAAAACGGAGAGCACUCUGUCUAAAUGAUACUAGCAGCCUUUACCCCAAAAUCUAUUGGAAGAUGCUUCCUUUGAUAUUCAAUAAAAAUGAAAUCAUCCCAAGUAUUUCUUUUAAAGGAGCAAUAUGACAACUUCUUGUUUCUUGUGGCAUCCAUUGGAAGCACUAUUGGAAACUGCAGUAUUUGCAUCUCCCUCAAGUAAACGCAGUUUACCAGCUCUCUUGUGCCAGAUAACAUAUGCCCGCCAAUUAUCUUCUAGGUUGUCUACAAAGACAUGCAAUUUCAGGUUGCAAACGAAGCACAAAAUUUGCCAGAUUACAAGUUUAUUAAGGAAUCCUAAUCUACAAGGGUGGUUAAAAAUGAGGGGCAGAACUAUUGGAAACUGCAGUAUUUGCAUCUCCCCUAAGUAAACACAGUUUACCAGCUCUCUUGUGUCAGAUAACAUAUGCCCUCCAAUUAUCUUCUAGGUUGUCUACAAAGAGACUGAAAUACGCGAUUUCAAGUUGCAAACGAAGCACAAAAUUUGCCAGAUGUCAAGUUUACGGAUGCCUAAUCUACAGGGGGUUAAAAAUGAGAGGCAUUCGAACUUGGGGGUACAUGUCGCCGGUAGAUGCUUGGUGUAGAAAUAAUAAUAAAUGCGCACAAGGAAGAGACCAGAGAAGGCAGGUUCACCGUCAUACCGCGGCGACCGGCGAGAAGCAAGCAGGACGCGGCGGCGGCGGCGGCGGCGACCGCCAUCGCCGAGCAAGCUAUUGGAUCGGGCUGCUCUAUUCUGAAGCAGCACGUUGGGCUGAGACACA
rnacentral:lncRNA from 1 species